CGAACGGGUGGGUAACGCGUGAAUAACCUGACUCAAAGAGGGGGAUAACAACGGGAAACUGUUGCUAAUACCGCAUGAGACCACAACACCGCAUGAUGAAGGGGUCAAAGAUUUAUCGCUUUGAGAGGGGUUCGCGUCCCAUUAGGUAGUUGGAGGGGUAACGGCCCACCAAGCCAACGAUGGGUAGCCGAGCUGAGAGGCUGAUCGGCCACACUGGAACUGAGACACGGUCCAG
rnacentral:rRNA from 1 species